rnacentral:rRNA from 1 species
UACGUAGGUGGCAAGCGUUGUCCGGAUUUACUGGGCGUAAAGAGCGCGCAGGCGGUCGUUCAAGUCGCGUGUGAAAGCCCCCGGCUCAACUGGGGAGGGUCACGCGAUACUGAUCGACUCGAAGGCAGGAGAGGGUAGUGGAAUUCCCGGUGUAGUGGUGAAAUGCGUAGAUAUCGGGAGGAACACCAGUGGCGAAGGCGACUACCUGGCCUGUUCUUGACGCUGAGGCGCGAAAGCGUGGGGAGUAAACAGG